AUAAUAAUAAUAAUAAAAAAAAAAAUCAGUUAACCUGGACAGUGUUUCCCAGGGUUGUGAGAACAGCCCAAUGAUUUUUGAGAAUUGGUCAGCUUGUGAGCCUAACAUUUGGGUUCCUCUACCCCAUUUUGGAACCUUACUGCAAUAUGUAGAUGCCACAGCAACAAAGGAGAACUGUGUACAAUGGACUGUGAGCUUGCUGAAUUUCUUGAUUUAAAUGGCUAUCAAGUUUCUCAGCAGAAAGCACAACUGAUCAAAAAAGAAGAAGCAAUUUGCUGAACACCCAGAGCACCAACGGAGGGCUACCUCCAAACCAGCAGUGUGUGACUGCAUGGAAACCGUCUGUGCCAGUUGGUCAGAUCUACAGGAGGAACCAUUGGACAACACUGAGGAUUCCUGGAUUCAUCGACGGAAGCAGUUUUGUGAGACAAGGAAACUGUAAGGCAGGAUAUGCAGUAACUGCUACUGACAAGGAUCCAAGGAUUGUUAGCACAGACACCACCUCUGGAAUUUCCGAUUCAUCCAUUCCAACCUGGAGACUGGGUCCUCAUCCAGAUCUGGAAGGAGGCAAAGCUGCAACCUGACUUGGAAGGACUGUUCCAAGUACUUCUGACAACAGAAGUCAGGACAGCCGAGAAAGGUUGGAUUCACUACUCUUGAGUAAAACCCUCCACUAACCCUGAAACUUGAGAAACUGUUGCAAUGGAGUAUCUUCUAAAGAUAAAAAUUAGAAAGAAAUUGCAAAUAAACUAAUCUGUAAUUUAUUUAUUUAUUUAUGUUCAUAACCUGUAUAGGUAGGGAGGCGUUUAGGAUAUACAUAUAUUUGUACUUCUAGUAGAGUAUAUCCUAUUCUUCACUAUAGUAACGGAAUAGAUAUUUAGGAGUUAAUAAUAAUGUGGGAGAGGGACCAAUUAGUAGUUUUGAUUCUGACAGUGAUUACCUUUAAAGAAUGUCUCAGUCAACUGAUUGCUUGGGAAAAGAAUGACCGGCAGAGAGGAGCGGGAGGAUACCUUGUUAUGAUGUGGGUGAAUGUAACAAGGAAAGAAACGCCUCAGACCAUCACAUUUGAUGUUUGCAAUGUGAUAGCCUGUAGGAGCUUAAGUGCCCAACGAUAAUUGAGUCAUGAAGAGAAAUACCUGUGUCCCGAAUUAGGCAUGAAUAAGAGAUUCCCCUGUGGGGAAUCGAAUAAUGUAUGGUGGGCAACUGCCUAUCAAGGCUGGACAUAUACCCCAGGGAUAUUUGAUACGCUGCAAUCACACACCCUAAAAGAAUUAGUACGUUUAAGGGAACUGUCCAACCAGACUGCCAAGCCUUGCAGUGUAAUCCAGUGACAAUAACAAUUAGCAAGGCGAUAGCCUUGUUAACAUCACUUUUGGGAUUGGAAUAAACAUUUGGGGAAAGUAUCCAGUAGCUAGAUUCAGAGUAGAUGUGUAGGAUUCAUUGCGUGAUCAUACUCAAAAGGUCCAGGAUAAGAAAAAGGGAGAGAAAGUCCUGCAGCUGUAGUAAUUAUGGAAAUAAAAGAUCUCAGACAAACAUUUGAAACUGAGACAGGAUACAGGGAUGUGAAUGCCUGGGUAGAAUGGAUUAAUUAUACUGUCUGGAGUCUCAACUAUAGCAACUGCUAUGCGUGCGCAUUGGGACAGCCUGUAGCUCAGGUAGUACCCCUUCCUCUGGGGUGGAUCAAAGAUUCCCAAGGGAUGCAAUGCAUGAUUGCCCUGUACCAGGAGAAAACCGCCUGGGGAAAUGAAAUGUAUAAAUCACUCCCCCUGUUGUUUCCCCCAAUAUUGGAGGUGGAUGCCAAAAUCCCUCCUGCAUUUUCCAUGGCCAUAGGUAACCAUACAGCUUGUCUCUCAAGACAGGCUGUGAGGGCUACCAGGCCUAUAGGGAAUUUCUAACUAUGCAGUGAAACCUUGGAUGCUACGAAAGAUUUAGCAGGGAACUAUUCAAGGCUGGGAUUCCCUGGAGUGGAUCUCUGGUGAUAUUGCGGUGGGAAGAUCUUACGGUCCAUUCUCCCAUCUAACUGGGGAGGUACCUGUGCACUGAGGUGUCCCUGAUGAAUUUAAGUCUAGAAAUCAAAUUGCUGCAGGAUUUAAAUCUCUAUUCUGGUGGGUGACAAUUAACAAAAAUUAGAUUGGAUAAACUACAUCUAUUACAAUCAGCAAAGAUUUAUAAGCUAUACAAAGAAGGCAAUAAAGGGAAUUGCAGAACAAUUGCAUGCUACAAGCAGGAUGGCCUGGGAGAGCAGGAUCGCCGUAGACAUGAUACUAGCUGAAAAAGGGGGUUGUGUUUGUAAUGUUGGGCACUCAUUGCUGUACUUUUAUCCCAAAUAAUACAGCCCCGGAUGGCACAAUAACUAGAGCAAUUACAGGGGCUUACUACUCUUGCUAGUGAAUUAGCUGAAAACUCAGGAAUAGAUAGUUCCCUCACUGGAUAGUUGGAGUCCUGGUUUGGCAAAUGAAAAGGGAUGACUGUGUCCAUAUUUACUUCUUUGAUUGUGGUAGAAGGAGUCCUGACGGCCAUCAAUUGCUGUAUCUCCUACAUGAGGGGAUUGGUACAGUGAUUAAUCAAAACUGCACUGCUGAAGCAAACAGUAGUGGAACCACCAACCGUACUCGGAUAAAAUGAUGAUAUUAGACAAAAUGGAGAAUGGAGAAAGUGAAGAAGUUUUUAGAAUCGUACCUUAAAAAA